rnacentral:misc_RNA from 1 species
AACGCAUAUUGCGCCCGCGUCUUCGGACAAGGGCAUGUCUGCCUCAGCGUCGGGUUAAUACUCGCAAUUAAAACCCAUGUGGUUUUACUAUUGCGGACCUGGCCGUCCCGAUUGAUUUAGUUCGAUCGGGUCGGCUGAAGAAUAGAGGUUGACGCAUGGACCCGAUAUGGGCCUCAACUGGGUAGGCAAUUCGUUGCUGUAUGCUUUAGUUGAUGGCUUGUGGACUGUGCAAUGUCGGCCCUAACCAGGAACCAAGCCUUGUGCUUGGAACAAACCCAUUUUCUCGACCUGAGCUCAGGCAAGAACACCCGCUGAACUUAA